GUUUUAAUAAUUUAAACAAAAUAUUGGUCUUGUAAACCAAAAAUAAAGUAUAAUCUUUUUAAAACU
rnacentral:tRNA from 1 species